ACGAUGCCCGCCUACUGGCGCCCUAGCAACCGGGUUGCGAACCAUGUUCUAUCCCGACUAAGUGGCCGUCCUGGGAGUUAUAGUGCCACUAGCCGGCCUCGGCUGUUCCCUGUCCGAGGCUCUUGUCAUUUCCGCUUAUUUCCUCCACGGGUGCCGAUUUCAUGUGUGUGUUCCCGAGUGCCUGAGCCGGCUCCCGAAAUGAGUACUCGUGGUUUCCGCGUGGGAACCAACCUCGAGCGCCAGUGGCCCGCCCUCUCCGGGCUGAGGUGGCUGCUGAGGCUGGGGCUGCUCCUGAGGCUUCAGGGCCGCCCGCUGCACGGCUUUCUACCUUCCCAGGUUAGCCGCGGUCAACUUCUGCCAGGCGGAGCGAGAAAUCGCAUUUUGUCAGGAUUAUCAUUGGUGGUGGCGAUUUUUAACCAGAAGCUUUAUAGCUGUUUAUCUUUUUACGUAUGCAGUUCAUUACUUCUCUGCCAAACUUCAAAUCACAGAAAUUGCGAGCUCUAUUUUGUACUUUGGGUACAUGAUGAUCAUUGUGUUGAUUUUCUUCCUUUUCAUAGAGACAGUUGGAUUUUUUUCCUGUUUCUGGUUAAUUGCUAAAAUCUACAGUGUGCUGAAGGUGGAGUAAAGUAUUUCCCCAAAGGAUUCCAAGCACAUCUCCCUUGCCCUUGAAUAUCUGUAUAUCUAUAUGAACAUCAAUUGAGAUAUAUAUGUGUGUGCCCCUAAUUACAUAAUUUUAAGCAUAUAUAUAAAAAUGUAAAAUCUCAUUGUCUGGCCUCAGUUUGUAUGACACAAAAUACUGAUUGUAUGGAAGAAAACAGAUUGGGAAACAGAUUUAUUCUAUAUCAUAUUUUCCUGAAAAGCUACCUUAAAAAGAUUUAAAUUAAAGCAAUUAGAGCAAGGGAGGCACAUUUCUUUAAAAAAUUAAAGUUGAGUACCAUACUGGUUUUUCAGAUGAAAUUUUCUUUUCCUUUUUCUCCUUCAUAUUGCUCAGAGCAUCUAAUUCCAUCAGAACUAUUGUCAAAUAAAUUUUAUGUAAAAUGUGUAUUUUUCUAAUGGGAGUUGAUUAUACAAACUGUAUUACACCUUUGUAUCUGAGUGAUCAUUUAAAAAUGCAUAUUGGUUUAGCACAUAGAGUUUAUGAAAUGCCAGAUAAUGCUCUUAUUCCUCAGUGAAAUCUGCACAUUUCUAGUUGUUGGUGGUCUAUUUCUGUUUGCUGUUCCUUGGAGGGGGGCUGAGAAUGUUCAAGUUUGACUUAGCUGUGUUUAAGUAAUAAAUCUUUGGAGUCAA
rnacentral:lncRNA from 1 species